rnacentral:lncRNA from 1 species
GCUCAUUUCUCUUCUUCUUUACUCUAUACGUUGGUGUUAUAACCAAUAAUCACCAAAGCGAAGUUCUGUCUGAUUGAUUCAGGAACCAACGAACGAAUGCCAAAGUGUUGUACUUUGUGAAUUUCGGUAAACGGAAUCCAAAGUACUAUACCUUGUGAUUUCGAUAAACGGAAUCCAAAGUAUUACAUUUUGUAAAUUUUGUUAAGGUUCGAAUCUCGUGACUACCGUUAGGUUUGAUUUGGGUUUUACACAAAUACGUAUUCAAUUCUGUUAAACUAUAUGUUUAACUACCGAAAAUACUUCCCACUACACACUCACAAUCAAACAAACUAUUAAAUCAUCAGAAGAUCCAGAAUAAUAAAGGACAUGCUUAGUUAUCGGAAGAAGUAGAAUCAAGAAGUUGUUAACUCAAUCCUACAUGCUGAUUUGUAAUCACAGUAUAUUGGAGUAAGGAUUGCAUCCGGCACUGAAGGACUUCAAGAAGUGGCUUAUUUUAUUAAUUAAAUCAAAAUUAAGAAAUAUUAUUUUUAUUAAAAGCUACCUUUGUAAAAAUGGAAUUUAUUCCAUCUAUUUAAAUAAAAUCCGGUGUUUCGAAACUCUGAUAUUUUCCUAACUCACGGUCCUGAUGAAAAUUCCGCUGCAAUGUUUUUCAAAAUAAUCACCGGUACCACUGGACUGCUCACAGCUUCCGAUUCCGGCCAGGAUGGGGUCGGGGGUCGUGACAUUUCAGGUGCUGCUUUGAGAUGACUGAUGAUAUAUGCUACACUUAGGAUGGACUCGUGCGUUAGCGACUUUAAAACUUGAAAGAUAAUAGUUGUACUUAUUUGAUUGUAAUUAAACAAUGCGUUCAUUUAUUCAAUAAAACAAAAUUAUU